rfam:Stegodyphus mimosarum contig60904, whole genome shotgun sequence.
GCUUUCGUGGUGUAGUGGUCAGCACGCUCGACGCGUAACUGAGAAGUCCGUGGUUCGAUUCCCGGCGAAGGCC